AAUAGAUACCCAGGUAGUCCACGCCGUAAACGAUGAGUGCUAAGUGUUAGAGGGUUUCCGCCCUUUAGUGCUGAAGUUAACGCAUUAAGCACUCCGCCUGGGGAGUACGGCCGCAAGGCUGAAACUCAAAGGAAUUGACGGGGGCCCGCACAAGCGGUGGAGCAUGUGGUUUAAUUCGAAGCAACGCGAAGAACCUUACCAGGUCUUGGCAUCCUCUGACAACCCUAGAGAUAGGGCUUCUCCUUCGGGAGCAGAGUGACAGGUGGUGCAUGGUUGUCGUCAGCUCAUGUCGUGAGAUGUUGGGUUAAGUCCCGCAACGAGCGCAACCCUUGAUCUUAGUUGCCAUCAUUUAGUUGGGCACUCUAAGGUGACUGCCGGUGACAAACCGGAGGAAGGUGGGGAUGACGUCAAAUCAUCAUGCCCCUUAUGACCUGGGCUACACACGUGCUACAAUGGACGGUACAAAGAGCUGCAAGACCGCGAGGUGGAGCUAAUCUCAUAAAACCGUUCUCAGUUCAGAUUGU
rnacentral:rRNA from 1 species